UGGGAACUGCAUUUGAAACUGGUUGACUAGAGUUUUGUAGAGGGUGGUAGAAUUUCAGGUGUAGCGGUGAAAUGCGUAGAGAUCUGAAGGAAUACCAGUGGCGAAGGCGGCCACCUGGACAAAGACUGACACUGAGGCGCGAAGGCGUGGGAGCAAACGGGAUUAGAUACCCCGGUAGUCCACGCAGUAAACGAUGUCUAUUAGAAGUUUGUGGCUAUAUGCCGUGGGUUUCAAAGCUAACGCAUUAAAUAGACCGCCUGGGGAGUACGGCCGCAAGGUUAAAACUCAAAUGAAUUGACGGGGGCCCGCACAAGCGGUGGAGCAUGUGGUUUAAUUCGAUGCAACGCGAAGAACCUUACCAUCCCUUGACAUCCAGAGAAUCACCUAGAGAUAGAUGAGUGCCUUCGGGAACUCUGAGACAGGUGCUGCAUGGCUGUCGUCAGCUCGUGUUGUGAAAUGUUGGGUUAAGUCCCGCAACGAGCGCAACCCUUAUCCUUAGUUGCCAGCACGUAAUGGUGGGAACUCUAGGGAGACUGCCGGUGAUAAACCGGAGGAAGGUGGGGACGACGCCAAGUCAUCAUGGCCCUUACGGGAUGGGCUACACACGUGCUACAAUGGCAAAUACAAAGGGUUGCUAACCUGCGAGGGUAUGCGAAUCUCAUAAAGUUUGUCGUAGUCCGGAUCGGAGUCUGCAACUCGACUCCGUGAAGUUGGAAUCGCUAGUAAUCGUGGAUCAGAAUGCCACGGUGAAUACGUUCCCGGGCCUUGUACACACCGCCCGUCACACCAUGGGAGUGGGCUGCACCAGAAGUCAUUAGCUUAACCUUCGGGAUGGCGAUGACCACGGUGUGGUUCAUGACUGGGGUGAA
rnacentral:rRNA from 1 species